rnacentral:rRNA from 1 species
GACGAACGCUGGCGGCGUGCCUAAUACAUGCAAGUAGAACGCUGAAGGAGGAGCUUGCUUCUCUGGAUGAGUUGCGAACGGGUGAGUAACGCGUAGGUAACCUGCCUGGUAGCGGGGGAUAACUAUUGGAAACGAUAGCUAAUACCGCAUAACAGUAGAUGUUGCAUGACAUUUGCUUAAAAGGUGCAAUUGCAUCACUACCAGAUGGACCUGCGUUGUAUUAGCUAGUUGGUGGGGUAACGGCUCACCAAGGCGACGAUACAUAGCCGACCUGAGAGGGUGAUCGGCCACACUGGGACUGAGACACGGCCCAGACUCCUACGGGAGGCAGCAGUAGGGAAUCUUCGGCAAUGGACGGAAGUCUGACCGAGCAACGCCGCGUGAGUGAAGAAGGUUUUCGGAUCGUAAAGCUCUGUUGUAAGAGAAGAACGAGUGUGAGAGUGGAAAGUUCACACUGUGACGGUAUCUACCAGAAAGGACG